GAUGAACGCUAGCUACAGGCUUAACACAUGCAAGUCGAGGGGAAACGGCGAAGGGUGCUUGCACUCUCCGGACGUCGACCGGCGCACGGGUGAGUAACGCGUAUCCAACCUUCCCAUGACCGGGGGAUAACCUGCCGAAAGGCAGACUAAUACCCCAUGGCCUUCACUGACGGCAUCAUAUGUGAAGUAAAGAUUCAUCGGUCAUGGAUGGGGAUGCGUCUGAUUAGCUUGUUGGCGGGGAAACGGCCCACCAAGGCGACGAUCAGUAGGGGUUCUGAGAGGAAGGUCCCCCACAUUGGAACUGAGACACGGUCCAAACUCCUACGGGAGGCAGCAGUGAGGAAUAUUGGUCAAUGGGCGCAAGCCUGAACCAGCCAAGUAGCGUGCAGGAUGACGGCCCUAUGGGUUGUAAACUGCUUUUGUACGGGGAUAAAACGGCGGACGUGUCCGUCCUUGCAGGUACCGUACGAAUAAGGACCGGCUAAUUCCGUGCCAGCAGCCGCGGUAAUACGGAAGGUCCGGGCGUUAUCCGGAUUUAUUGGGUUUAAAGGGAGCGUAGGCCGGGGAUUAAGUGUGUUGUGAAAUGUAGACGCUCAACGUCUGACUUGCAGCGCAUACUGGUUCCCUUGAGUACGCACAACGUUGGCGGAAUUCGUCGUGUAGCGGUGAAAUGCUUAGAUAUGACGAAGAACUCCGAUUGCGAAGGCAGCUGACGGGAGCGCAACUGACGCUUAAGCUCGAAGGUGCGGGUAUCGAACAGGAUUAGAUACCCUGGUAGUCCGCACGGUAAACGAUGGAUGCCCGCUGUUGGUACCUGGUAUCAGCGGCUAAGCGAAAGCAUUAAGCAUCCCACCUGGGGAGUACGCCGGCAACGGUGAAACUCAAAGGAAUUGACGGGGGCCCGCACAAGCGGAGGAACAUGUGGUUUAAUUCGAUGAUACGCGAGGAACCUUACCCGGGGCUUGAAUUGCAAGAGAACGAUACAAGAGAUGUUGAGGGUCCUUCGGGACUCCUGUGAAGGUGCUGCAUGGUUGUCGUCAGCUCGUGCCGUGAGGUGUCGGCCUAAGUGCCAUACCGAGGCGCACCCCCUCUCUUCAGUUGCCCAUCAAGGUAUUGCCUGGCACCUCUUGGAAACCCGGUGCCACCCUUAGGGGUUUAGGAAAGGGUGGGGAGUUACGUUAAAUUCCCCACGGGCCUUUACUUUCGGGGGCCUCACCU
rnacentral:rRNA from 3 species